CGUAACGUCGCGAGAGUUUGCGGGCCAGGCUGACAGACCGACAUUUUCUGAAAACCUGUUUUUCGGAUUAUAAAGGUUCGAAAACGUAAGGAUUCGUUGAAAAUAGAAAAAGUGAUUAUCGACCGAAACUAAUACUUUUCUCAUAUAACCAAAG